AAAUAGACUAUGUUAAACAUGAAGAAUCUCUUGUACUUAAUAUCUGUGUUGUCUUUGUUGAUAUGUGUGAGAUGUGAGAUCUCCCUGACUCAGCCCGGUGCUGUCACUGUGAAGCCAUCAGAGGUUCUUCAGCUGCCCUGUAAAGUGACCGGAGCCUCCCUCACUGACAGAUCCAAAAUGUGGUCUGUUCAGUGGGUUCGUGAUCCUGCAGGGAAAGGGCUGGAGUGGCUGGGAGGGAUAUGGCAUGAUGCUGUCACACGCUAUGCCCAGUCCUUGCAGGGACGUAUCACAGUAUCAAGAGACACAAAUAAAGGAGAAGUUUAUUUAAAACUCACUGGAAUGAAACCAGAGGAAACUGCUGUAUAUUACUGUGCUAGAGAAGCACAGUGGGACAUAUAUUAUGAGAGCAUGUGUAAAGAACAUGUCCUGAUAUCUGUGGAACUAUGA